AGAGUUUGAUCCUGGCUCAGGACGAACGCUGGCGGCGUGCUUAACACAUGCAAGUCGAACGGAAAGGCUCCUGCUUGCGGGGGUACUCGAGUGGCGAACGGGUGAGUAACACGUGGGUGAUCUGCCUUGCACUCUGGGAUAAGCUUGGGAAACUGGGUCUAAUACCGGAUGGGAACCGUCUUUAGUGUGGUGGUUGGAAAGUUUUUCGGUGCAAGAUGAGCUCGCGGCCUAUCAGCUUGUUGGUGGGGUAAUGGCCUACCAAGGCGUCGACGGGUAGCCGGCCUGAGAGGGUGUACGGCCACAUUGGGACUGAGAUACGGCCCAGACUCCUACGGGAGGCAGCAGUGGGGAAUAUUGCACAAUGGGCGGAAGCCUGAUGCAGCGACGCCGCGUGGGGGAUGACGGCCUUCGGGUUGUAAACUCCUUUCGACAGGGACGAAGCGCAAGUGACGGUACCUGUAUAAGAAGCACCGGCUAACUACGUGCCAGCAGCCGCGGUAAUACGUAGGGUGCGAGCGUUGUCCGGAAUUACUGGGCGUAAAGAGCUCGUAGGUGGUUUGUCGCGUCGUCUGUGAAAUUCCGGGGCUUAACUCCGGGCGUGCAGGCGAUACGGGCAUAACUUGAGUGCUGUAGGGGAGACUGGAAUUCCUGGUGUAGCGGUGAAAUGCGCAGAUAUCAGGAGGAACACCGAUGGCGAAGGCAGGUCUCUGGGCAGUUACUGACGCUGAGGAGCGAAAGCAUGGGUAGCGAACAGGAUUAGAUACCCUGGUAGUCCAUGCCGUAAACGGUGGGCGCUAGGUGUAGGGGGCUUCCACGUCUUCUGUGCCGUAGCUAACGCAUUAAGCGCCCCGCCUGGGGAGUACGGCCGCAAGGCUAAAACUCAAAGGAAUUGACGGG
rnacentral:rRNA from 1 species